UGUGAUGAUGAUAAAAAUUUCUUCACUUUGACCUGACGUUUGUCUGAAGAGAUUUUCAAACAUCUGACG